rfam:Bacillus sp. FJAT-27916 Scaffold1, whole genome shotgun sequence.
GCGGGUGUGGCGGAAUUGGCAGACGCACCAGACUUAGGAUCUGGCGCCUUACGGCGUGGGGGUUCGACUCCCUUCACCCGCA